GCCAAAUUUGUCUUCACUCGAAUGAGUUGAUUGCGAAAGAACAGGAGAAUUUUAUACAAUUGUCUUCACCUACACUGCACCAUUUUGUAUUGAUAAUGAAAUGAUAUCUUCAAUGUUUCUAUAGGGCUGAAUCAACAAUGGCAGUGGCAGCCUUCAAAUCUUCCUCUCGAAGGCCAACAAAUUCAUCAUCACUAUCCUCCUCCAAAGAUGAAACCAAACCCAACUCUCCGAACAAACCACCUCCUCGAAGAUCAAGAAGCGUAAGCGCUGUCUCAAGAUCCCACCUCCAAACUUCAUCACCAUCAUCGGAUUUCUUGAAUAAAAGAGACAAUCCUCUCUAUUGGGCCACUGUGUCCCCUCCCGACAAUGAAAAUCCCAAGUCUUCGGACGCUGAUACUAGGAGGGGAAGAUCUGUGUCCAGAAACGCAGAUGUAGCUGAAAACGUUUUCGGUAGCAGGAAAGAUAUCGGUAGGAGUCUCUCCAGUGUUUACACAGGGCGCCGCCGGUCUUUGUCCCGGGGUCCCGUGGCCAGAACUCAUCACUUGAAUUCUGAGGUUAAGUCCUUAAUCCUCUUUCUAUUGAUUACAGAAUUCAUAUUGAACCAUUUUAUAUAAUUCUAAUUCUGAUAAUUCUGGUUAGUGUGAUGUUGAAAGAGGAGAUAGCUUGUUGAGCAAGUGCACAAGUAGAAAUGUUAAUGGCUCAAAUGUCGGGAGGAAGGGUAGUUUAGUUAGAGGUAGUAGUUCUGAUUCGCUUGAACAUAUUGAAAGUUUGCAGGCGUCAACACGGGGUUCUGCCGCAAAUUUGUCUUCUUCGCCAACUUUGAGUUGGGAUGAUGGAGUUUUGCGAAGCUCUUUCUCUGAAGCUGAAGAGAGAACUAGUAGAGCUAUUUGUGAGCAAAUGAAGUCAUUCCAUGGAAGUCAGUUGGGAGAUGAUGCCUCUAGUCGUAUAUAUGAAACUGUACGAUCUGAAGUGAGACGAGCUAUUGCUGACAUCCAAAAUGAUCUUGAAAGUGCUGUCCGAAGGAGUAAUGCGACAGCUAUUGCAGCCACCAAUGUAACUGACAUUCCUCCUGACUUGGUCAACCCAAGUGCAGUUGAAUUAGUUUUGGACAUCAGAAGAGAAUAUGCCAAUAAGCUUGAGCAGUCCCAAGAACGGGCUAGGAAACUUCGAGCUGACCUGGCUGUUGAGGAGCACCGUGGUUUAGAGCUGAAUAGAAUCCUUAGGGAAGUACUUCCAGAUCCCAAGAUCUCGCAUGUGCAAAAGUCUCGUUCAGGAAGAAAGUCUAGCAUUGAAAGAAGGAAGAUGUCAAAAAGAUUAACAGAAGAAGCUAUGGCUUAUUUUGAUGAAUGCGUCUCACUUUCAACUUUUGAUAGCUCUGAUUUUUCUUCGCAAGAGGACCCGCCAAUCAGCUUAGUUGGCAUUAGUACCCCUGCUGGUUAUCUUACAUCCGUUUCCCAAGCCAACAAUAGCAUUGCAGCCAACCACUGCGUAGACAAUUGCCCUAAUGAUAAACAGGUUUAUUGACUUGUAGCAUUUUAAUUUUUCCUUAAAUUUUCUUUUGUAGAAAUAUAUUUAGAUCUGACAUGUCAUCCAUGCAACAAAAAAUAUAUACCUGAUACCUAUUCAAUAACUGGGUUGAGACAAGUUGGGCUCAAUUGAUCUGAACCUUUUAAGCCUUGGUCAAGUUUGGUCCUCCGAAGUUUGGGCCUGGUUUACUAACCGAGAUUUAUCCAAUUGAAUAAAUAUGAAAAAUGAAUAAGAUAAAUCCUGAGGGUGGGCCUUGGUCAGUCCCGUGGUAAAACCUCUGUUCAAUUCAGGUUUUUUAACAGCAUAGUGCAGGUGGGCCCUAACUUAUUUAGGUUUUUAUAGACUAGGAAGAAAUAAACACAUUAAUCCCCAUAUAGUUAAAUUCAGCAUAGGCAAAUUGGAAAAUCUAUACCAUUUUAUGACAUAUAUUAAUUCAGAACUGCAGUUAUUUCAAAAUUAAUAAUAUAUAUGUAAAUUCAUCUUUGAGAAUUAACUUAGAAAGACAUGAUUCUUCCGAGUUUCUCAUGAUGAUAACUGAAAUAUCUGUUCAAACUUAUUUAAGUAAGAUUCAUGUAUGCAUGCACGUGUAUGUGUUUACUCCAAUAAAAUUUAUAGUAUUUAAAGAAAUUUUAAUCCUGAUUUUAGUUAUGGUUUAACAUCUGGGACUAAGAUGCCCUUAGAGCUUGUUAAUGCUUGCGGUUAAAAAGGAAAAAAAUCUGGAAUUGAAAUAUAAUACGUUUAACCACACUUCUGAAUGCUUCUGGUUCUUGCUUUGUCAUUUUGAAGUUUUGUAUUUGUGUGAAGAUGGAGAAUAGACAUAAAGUUCCAUAAGGAGAAAUCAAGCAAUCAAGUAAAAUUAUGGAAG
rnacentral:misc_RNA from 1 species